rnacentral:rRNA from 1 species
ACGCUGGCGGCAGGCCUAACACAUGCAAGUCGAGCGGCAGCCGGGUACUUGUACCUGGUGGCGAGCGGCGGACGGGUGAGUAAUGCCUAGGAAUCUGCCUGGUAGUGGGGGAUAACGCUCGGAAACGGACGCUAAUACCGCAUACGUCCUACGGGAGAAAGCAGGGGACCUUCGGGCCUUGCGCUAUCAGAUGAGCCUAGGUCGGAUUAGCUAGUUGGUGGGGUAAUGGCUCACCAAGGCGACGAUCCGUAACUGGUCUGAGAGGAUGAUCAGUCACACUGGAACUGAGACACGGUCCAGACUCCUACGGGAGGCAGCAGUGGGGAAUAUUGGACAAUGGGCGAAAGCCUGAUCCAGCCAUGCCGCGUGUGUGAAGAAGGUCUUCGGAUUGUAAAGCACUUUAAGUUGGGAGGAAGGGCAGUUACCUAAUACGUAUCUGUUUUGACGUUACCGACAGAAUAAGCACCGGCUAACUCUGUGCCAGCAGCCGCGGUAAUACAGAGGGUGCAAGCGUUAAUCGGAAGUACUGGGCGUAAAGCGCGCGUAGGUGGUUUGUUAAGUUGAAUGUGAGAUCCCCGGGCUCAACCUGGGAACUGCAUGCAAAACUGGCAAGCUAGAGUAUGGUAGAGGGUGGUGGAAUUUCCUGUGUAGCGGUGAAAUGCGUAGAUAUAGGAAGGAACACCAGUGGCGAAGGCGACCACCUGGACUGAUACUGACACUGAGGUGCGAAAGCGUGGGGAGCAAAC